UUUUCUCCUGCCCUCAGCCAACCCGGUAACUGAGCCUCUCCCCUGGCAUGGCCACGCCGGGGAGUGAUUUCUGGCUUCCUGGCCAGAUUCUGCCUGGAGACAGAUAGCUGGGUUUGUGAGCAUGGCCCAGUGCAGCUGCAGCAUGGGUGUGGACACCGCCCUGUUCUCAAGUCCCAGCCACUAAAUCCUUCCUUUAGGAUUCCCGAGAGGGAGUGUGGUCUAAUGGUUAGUACCCAGGCCUGGGAUUCUAUUCCCAGCUCUGCCACUGACCUGCUGGAUAACCUUGGGCAGGUCACAUCACUGCUCUGUGCCUUGGUUUUCCCCAUCGCAUGGGGCUGCUCAUCUCUGCCCGCCUCUCAGGGGUGGUGAAUCUGGAGUGCUCUGGAGGGAAGGGGACAGAGAUGGCCAAAGCAUCUUUCUGUGGGGGCUCCCCGUGUCAUUUCAGGGGGGCCGACGGGAGUUUGACGGGCUGCCUGAGAGGCCAAGCGGGGAGUUCACAUGCCCCAAGCUCAACAAUAUGAGGCACAGUGUCUAUGCGAUGGAGAACAUGGCCACUGCAACCUCUCCAAGGGGACCCUCCGAGCCUGGCUAGCUCAGGGAGCUACCAGGGGGACCGGAAGCUUCUCAGGCAAAGCAGUAGCAGCACUAGAAGGAACGUUUCUCUAGGUUAGCAGCAGACCCCCAGCCCCUCAAGAGGAUGACGUGUCCUCGCUGGCGUACGGCCGACGGCACCACUCCCUGCGUGGUGCUGAAGACGUCAAAGGGCUGCUCCAUGCUACAGCAGCAGCUGAGGCAGGGGACCCAGUUACAGUGCCGAUGGGCUCUUAGCUGUGGCCUGUCUGUCCCUGGACACGGCCAAGGCUUUAGUCUGGCUAGGGAAUACAGCUGAGGUCCUAGCUAGGGUACAGCAUGGAACUGCCUUGCACCCAGGUCAGGGGACAAGCACGUUGUAACAGGCUAUAAUUGAUGCCUGAGCAGGGUCUUAGUCCCAUGGCCAUUUGUGAGAGCAAGAGGGACUUGUUAAAUGCUCACUAAGAACGUUGCUAAAGAGCUAUUGUUGAUAUAACAAUGGGACUUCAUGACCUCGGAAGCCAAGGUUCCAUAGUAGCUGGGGGAGGGAAUCGUCGUUUCUGGUGGGCUUCAGCCCCCUAUCAGGCCAUCCCAGCAGAUCCUUCCAAAAAUGUGUUGUUUUUCCCCCAGCUGUUAGAAUGUACCAAAGGAGAAGAAUGUUUGUAACUACCCACUGGAAGGCUCUGGGUGAGCCCCAAGGAUAGGUCCCCCGGGCUGGGAGGCUUUGGCAAGGCAACGAAUCCCACCCGAAGCAGAGACCCCACCUCCCCAGUGGACCCUGGCCCCCAACUGCACCCUGCAGCGGCCUCUCAGCGACUCCUCCGCCCUUCUGCGCCAUCUCGGACCUGUCAGGUGGUGCCACCAUCUUCCAUCGUCCCUCUGCUACCGAACCCAAGACGCAACACAUCCCCUUCCCCCAAUGGGCCUGGAGACUCCUGUUGGCAGCUUUUCUGAGGCAUUCCUGGCUCCCUCGACGGCUCACUGGCCAUCCAGCUCUAGGCAGGCAGGGGACUAAGGGGCCCUUUUCCCAAGCAGGCAUCCAGAGCCCACAUUUGGCCACUCACACCAGCUCAGAGGCCUGGGCAGGCACCUCCAGCAGAGAGGUUGGGAUGGACCUCAAUCAGAGCAAGUUCCUUGACUGUAGAAUAGACAACAGGACAGAGCAGCAUUCAGAAUGGGGGACACAGAUCCCCAUAUGCCAGGGCCCGGCUGAUGGAAACGCCACCCUGCACCCUGUGACCACCUUUUGUCCAUCAUUAACAUCUUCUUUACAUGCUUCCAUUCAGCUUUGGCUUUUCCAGUGGGUGAUUCCUCCCCUGGAGAUGCCAGGGAGCAGAGGGUGGUCGCCACCUUGCCGAGCUGGGCCUGUCGGUCUGAGAACUGUGAUCCCAAAGUAACUGGGGAUUGGUGCCUGGUUCUGCUGAACCACAUCAAUUUCUAGAGCGCCCAUCAACCAGCACAACAGAGCUCAGGAAGCUGGACGGCAGAAGCUUCGGCGUAUGUAGCUGUGGUGAAACUUACGCUGGAGUGAGGAAACUCCUGCGCUCUUCGCAUUUUUAUGGCUGGGGACAAUUUUUAAUUUUUGCUUUUCUAUUUAUGUUUGCUGUUGAGGGCAGUCCAGCUCCCUGCUGCCUGGGAGAAGGUCCCUCUCCUGGGCCUGUCUGCGUUCAUUUUCGCUUCCAUGGCCCUUUGUUACCAUCUCUCUCCCCUGCCCAUCUGAACAGCAGCCACUGGAUCAGCAGCCACAGACCUCUGCCCCGUGUCAGAGCACAGUAACAAAGACCAGCCUCUUCCCAGCACUCCUGUCUCAUACUACCACCGUCCAAUAUCCAGAGACUCUAGCCAUCGAUUGUACUUAUAUGGCCCUGUUACCACAGUAACAGAGCACUCCACAAUAUUUCAUGUUUUUAUCUUCACAACACCUGUCUGAGGCAGGGCAGUGCUGUUAUCCCCAGUUUACAGAUGGGGAAACCGAGGCACCGAGCGACUAAGUGACUUGCCCAAGGUCACACAAGAAGUCCGUAGGAGAGCAAGGAAUUUCUCAUAUGUGUCCUGAGUCCCAGGCUAGCUCCCAUCCUGCUGAGCCACCCUUUCUCUCCUCUUAUAAAGUUUUGCCCCCUGGAGACAGAAGAAUCGGUUCUCCCCUCACACCACUUUUACUCCAGUUUACCUCUGACUAUACUGGAGUUACUCUUGAAUUGCACCAGUGUACGAGAGGAGAAUUGUGUCCAGCACGUAUAGGCGGGAGCCUACCCAGCUCUGCUCCUGCCCCUGUUUGAUAUGAAAGUCAUUCUGGGCAUUCACAUUCUUACUCACAAUUGCACAGAUGUGCUGAUGACAUUCGUAGAAGUGGAUUCAUUUUUAAUAUGGUUUUAAAUGGCAGGGUAGGUGGCAGUUUAAACGAUUGGGGUUCUGUGGUGUGAAGGUUUGAGAAAGGGAAAAUGCUCCCAAGUUUCCACUGUACAAGUGAUACAAAAAUAGCAUUGUGCCACCCCCAGGACACAUCAUAUGGACACACACAGGACACACCACACUGAGCGACACGGCACACAAGUGUCUAGAGGAUGAUCCAUCACACACAGACACACGCAUCAAUAUGACGUCCCAUCGCACACACAGUGCCCUAUACCAGUGCACACGCAUAAGAGUGCAUCAGGCAUUGAAAAGAGAAGCGAGUUGGCCGAGGCUCUAUGACUGGAUGUCAAGGCCUGAUUCUCCCUUGCCUUGCUCCUUGCGUGGUCAUUGACAGCUGCUGAAAGCCUGGAUAAAACACUGAUUUGCAGAGUUCAAGGGACUCGCCCUCCCAUAUCCCAGCCCCAGAUUUGCAAGUGCAGUCAGCUGUCCUAAUGCGUCAUUUGUGUGCUUGUCACUGAACGGUCUCACAGGGUUGUCCUGGUAAAUCUCUGAAUUUCUACGAGUUUGUACAUUUUAAUCAUUUCUUCUAGAUCUGGUCAAUUCUAGGCACUACCAAUGGCACUUGUGUUUGCAGAGAUUAUUUCAACAGCAAGGCCAAACUCAUUUCUU